CAGGUGAUGUUGCUGAAGCGGAGUCAACAAGGGCAUCGACUGCAUCGAGCGCAAUGUCCCACUAGUUCCAGGCCGGCUUGGCUGCAUUCUACAACAACCAGAAAAUGAAAUUUUUAUUUUUCAAGUUCAACUUUUAAUCCGCAGGUUUUGCACGGUCCAGCGCUACUUGUGCUCAUCCAACCUGAUUGAACAAACAAACCCAACAAACGUCCACCAGGAAAAUCUGAUGGCCAAGUCUGCAAAAAGCUGUGCGUGUGUCUGUGUUUAUGGACAAUCCAGUUGGAUCCGGAAGACACGUUUUGAAAUGAAGAAAAAAAGGGAUAUUUACCUCUCGGCGUCUGUUUCCGUUUCGCUGCUCGAUCCGGUCGUUGUUUCCUGGCUGGAACGCGAUGGGCGAGCCGAGGAGGAAUUGCGGUUAGCCCCGCCGGGUCCUCCUCCUUCUGCUGCCGACGACGACGAUGCGGCUGCCAUUCCGGUGUGGUUGCUGGUUCCUGUCGAUGAAGAAGUCGAGGCUUUCUUAUGAGCGCCACCACCAGUGGCGGGCCCUCGGGCGCUGGUUGCACCUGCGUGAUCGCGCAUCAUCCUCUUCUUGCCCGCCUGUUGUUGCUGGCCUCCUCCUCCUCCAAGCUGCCGUCCAUCUUCCAUCGCUGCCGCCGCAGAGCGGGCUGACCGUGAACCCAAACUCGGGUGAGAAAAGCGAUCGGAGCUCGAUGACGGUACACCUUCUGUCAUCACCAACAACAACAACAACAACAUUCAUUCGUUAUUUUUCUAUUUUCUAUUCGGCAACAGCUGGAAGAAUGCGGACAACUCCAUUCACCGGCGGGAGAUUGGAAAACAAUUUGGAACGAGCCGAGUCAGCCGCCACAUGUCGGCACAAGUGACGACAUUGCGGUUCACUGUCCGUCCAACAACAACAACAAAAUGGCGCAUUUUUCAUCCGGAGGAUUUUUACGAUCUCAUCUUCUUGUCGAGGCGUAUAAUAUUUUGUGUACGUGUGAGUCUCUAUGGAACCUCAUCAUCAUCAUCCGACUGGCCCAGAGGAAAAACAUUUGGACUUUUUUGUUUUUUGUUUCUCCGCACUGUUGGCAGAUAACAAGCAAAAAAAAAGUUUCAACAAGAAAAGGUAAAGUUGGAAAUUAUAGACCCUGGACACUGGGCAAAUUUUUUGUUGAGGGUGGGGGAAUGAGAAGGAGGCGAAUUGUCAUUGUCAUCCCGCCUCCCUUCCACGAAAAGGAAAACUAAUCAUUUGAGUCUCUUGUUAUCCUCCAGGCCAUCCAUCCAUCAACCGAUGGACUUUUUGUGAAUGUCCGUCAGGUGCCAAUGUCGACCGAUACGAUAAAAAACUAUCUAGUCCAUUUGAAAAACAACAAAACUGUUUGAAAGUGAGGGGGGAUUCCGGUUUGAUAGCGAUCCAGCUCCGGAAUGUUGUUAUUCCGUUUUCACAGGUUUCUUCUUCCUUUUGGAAAAAGCGAAAGUCACGUGAUAACCGAUUCUCCCACACAGCCGGUAACUAAGGAAAAAAGAAGCCGCAAGGAAAGAGAAGACAAUACCUGGAUAUCUUUCGUGGAAAUUGGACUGACUAUUGGCGCUGUGCUGGUAAUUGAAAUCUCGGUGUUGCCAGGCCAGAGGCGUGCGUGAAUCCAAGUCGACACGAUCGUUGGAACUGCUCUGGCGGGAGCGUUCGCGCUCACGUUCACGACGAUCCAUUCGCCGUUCCAUUCACGACCGCCGAUUUGAAGGAGGAAAAAAACACGCACACACACAAGGUACACUUACACACACACGGAUAAUAAUGGAAUUUUCAAACUCUCUGUGGGAAGAUGGGUGAAGGUGAACAAACCAACAAUGUUUGUUUCUCUCUAAUUCUUUUUCUCACAUCCGCACCGGACCGGAACUACGGCCGGAUUGAAUAGAAAGGAAAUAUAACCCCCCUACGCCACUAUUUGUUGGGCUUCACUUGGGAGUAGAAAAACCGGUUUUGUGUGUGUGUGGUUCUUUAAGAAAAUCUUUUUUGAUGAGUUGUGAAAAAGAUAAAAAUGACACGGUGCGGAGUAAAGGAGAGAGAGGUCCGUUCGGAUCCGCUUCACAGUGUCGACUGGCCUGCGCGUAGCCGAGUCACUUUGGCUUUACCUUGUCUUUGGUAUAAAAACGGGCGAAGAAGAUGGCCGCCGCCGCCGUACACAUUUUGUGUGUGUUCUUCCCUCUGGCAGAAUUCAUGUCCCUACCCUUUUCCCUGCUCAAGUCAUCGACCUAUGUAAUGUCUAGUAUACCUUCCUUCCUUCUUCUUCUUCUUCUUCUUAUUCGGUUCUUCUUCUUCUUCUCCUUUUUGCGCCGCCCGCCAUUGGAGUGUGGGACCAAAUUCUCCGUUGCAUUUUUACCUGGUGGUGGAAGAGGUAGGGAAGGAAGUUGUUUUUUUUUUUUCUUCUAGGAGCAUUCAAUAAUUUGAAUAGCUCCUAUAUAGCUAAGGCCAUUUGGCUUGGAGAUGAGAUGGUAGAACACACACACCGAAAUAUAGACAAUCACACGGUCUAUGCGAUAUAUCUAUGAGCUCGCACAAUGUGUAUGUACCGGUGUAUCUACUUCCCGGCUGGGUUACUCCCGACAAACAAUUACCGAAUCUGGGUGACGGUUUAUUUGGCUAACAAUUGGGUGCCGUUGUUGUUGUUGUUGUUGUUGGCUGUUGGCUGUCCCAUUUGCUAUUAUUCAGAUGACAUAAUACGAUGAGCAGACCUUUUUUUUGUGUGUGUGUCGUGCAGUCGUCACGAGCCGCAUAAGAAAAAAUUGCUCACCUGGAAAUAAAGAUGAAGAAAUGAUUCUUUCGGGAUUUGAUGAUAAUAAUGCACGUAACGUUCGCUUUGAUGUUGCCUUUUAACGAGAUGAGAAAACAGUUUUUCUUUUGGG